UUGUCACAUCCCAAUAAUCCCACAUCGGAUAGAAAUGGGGAUGUGAUUGGGUAUAUACGAGACUUAGACACUAGUAAUAAUAACUGGGCUUAAGCAUUUUGGGCCGGUGGUUGGGCCCAACGAGUUAUUAUUGCUAGCAGGUCGGGUUGUUACAUUUGAUAUCAGAGCCAAUCACCAGCCGAAAAUUUGUGGCAAGUCUCGGCUGAGUCAGGGUCUGAAAAAUAAGGUGAUAGGCUAUAUCGGAGUCUGUAUGACAAGGUGACUAGCUAUGUCAGGGUCUGGAUGACAAGAUUAGCGAGACAAAUCUCAUAUCACCCGGUGAUCUUGAAGUGUGUGUGUAAUUAGACUGACGAGGACA
rnacentral:lncRNA from 1 species